AUGCCACAGACACAAACAGAGAAACCAGGAGAGGGCACAGAAGGAGAAGAAGAUCACCAAAACAUGUAUUGGAGUAAUGCUCUGGUCGUAACAUAACAUGCGUCUUCGGUGAUUGGAUCACAAGUGGACAGCUCUAAAUACAAGGGUAAACAACCGUCAAGACGCAUUGUAGUCCGAUCACUUAAACCACUUGCUGAGGUGGUCUGGGACGCCAAUGUGUCCUGGUGCUGAAAUGUCUCCGACAAGGAUGUAACAGGUCUGAUGGGAGGAGCAGGGAUGGACCAAAGAUUGGUGAAAAUGUACCCGUGUCCCAGUGUCUCCUGCUCCUCCCAGUCCGUCUCUCUGUUUGUGUCUGUGUGUGUGUGUGGUGGCAUUGGCGUAGCUUCCCUCCUGGCUCCUGGUUCCACACACACCUGCCUUCCAUCAAGUCCUCAGCUCUUCAGUAUUUCUACUCCAGGCCUUCAACCACUAAUCGC
rnacentral:lncRNA from 1 species